GAAUAAGAAGUAAAAUUUACAUUUAGUUUCGACCUAAAAAUAUGAUAUUAAUAUCCUUAUUUU
rnacentral:tRNA from 1 species